GCCAGCAUGGUGUAGUGGUGAGCCUUGGAUUUUGACUCUGGAGCCCAGGGUUCAAUUUCCUGUUCAGCCA